UGGCUCAGAUUGAACGCUGGCGGCAGGCCUAACACAUGCAAGUCGAGCGGUAGCACAGAGAGCUUGCUCUCGGGUGACGAGCGGCGGACGGGUGAGUAAUGUCUGGGAAACUGCCUGAUGGAGGGGGAUAACUACUGGAAACGGUAGCUAAUACCGCAUAAUGUCGCAAGACCAAAGUGGGGGACCUUCGGGCCUCAUGCCAUCAGAUGUGCCCAGAUGGGAUUAGCUAGUAGGUGGGGUAACGGCUCACCUAGGCGACGAUCCCUAGCUGGUCUGAGAGGAUGACCAGCCACACUGGAACUGAGACACGGUCCAGACUCCUACGGGAGGCAGCAGUGGGGAAUAUUGCACAAUGGGCGCAAGCCUGAUGCAGCCAUGCCGCGUGUGUGAAGAAGGCCUUCGGGUUGUAAAGCACUUUCAGCGGGGAGGAAGGCGAUAAGGUUAAUAACCUUGUCGAUUGACGUUACCCGCAGAAGAAGCACCGGCUAACUCCGUGCCAGCAGCCGCGGUAAUACGGAGGGUGCAAGCGUUAAUCGGAAUUACUGGGCGUAAAGCGCACGCAGGCGGUCUGUCAAGUCGGAUGUGAAAUCCCCGGGCUCAACCUGGGAACUGCAUUCGAAACUGGCAGGCUAGAGUCUUGUAGAGGGGGGUAGAAUUCCAGGUGUAGCGGUGAAAUGCGUAGAGAUCUGGAGGAAUACCGGUGGCGAAGGCGGCCCCCUGGACAAAGACUGACGCUCAGGUGCGAAAGCGUGGGGAGCAAACAGGAUUAGAUACCCUGGUAGUCCACGCCGUAAACGAUGUCGAUUUGGAGGUUGUGCCCUUGAGGCGUGGCUUCCGGAGCUAACGCGUUAAAUCGACCGCCUGGGGAGUACGGCCGCAAGGUUAAAACUCAAAUGAAUUGACGGGGGCCCGCACAAGCGGUGGAGCAUGUGGUUUAAUUCGAUGCAACGCGAAGAACCUUACCUGGUCUUGACAUCCACAGAACUUUCCAGAGAUGGAUUGGUGCCUUCGGGAACUGUGAGACAGGUGCUGCAUGGCUGUCGUCAGCUCGUGUUGUGAAAUGUUGGGUUAAGUCCCGCAACGAGCGCAACCCUUAUCCUUUGUUGCCAGCGGUCCGGCCGGGAACUCAAAGGAGACUGCCAGUGAUAAACUGGAGGAAGGUGGGGAUGACGUCAAGUCAUCAUGGCCCUUACGACCAGGGCUACACACGUGCUACAAUGGCAUAUACAAAGAGAAGCGACCUCGCGAGAGCAAGCGGACCUCAUAAAGUAUGUCGUAGUCCGGAUUGGAGUCUGCAACUCGACUCCAUGAAGUCGGAAUCGCUAGUAAUCGUAGAUCAGAAUGCUACGGUGAAUACGUUCCCGGGCCUUGUACACACCGCCCGUCACACCAUGGGAGUGGGUUGCAAAAGAAGUAGGUAGCUUAACCUUCGGGAGGGCGCUUACCACUUUGUGAUUCAUGACUGGGGUGAAG
rnacentral:rRNA from 1 species